AUCCCUUCUCAGGAAUGGGAGUCAAUCUUGUGGUUUUCAUUUUUAGAUGAAGAAAUCAGAGCUCAGAAAGAUCCAGUUCAUUUGUCCAUUCAGCAGCUGUUGCCUACCUGCACACUUCCGUGAGCUUUCCCAGGCAUGUUCGGUAUACUAGUCCCAAGACACAGGGCUUGUCUUCAAGAUAAUCUGAAGAAUUGAGACCUGGGGAUAGCACCCAAGAAGAGGGAAGAUAUGGGUUGACAACUGAGACAUUUCCUGGAUUGUUCAUAUCAUGUCACAGCUGGACUGAGCCUUAGAAGGGACCUCUCUCACGCUGGCCAGGGAACCAUCAUACUGUCAUCACAGCUGGAUAUGACAGGUUCCAGGAGUUUAGAAAUUGUUCUUGACAUGGUGGGAAGCAUUUUCAUGUCCUCGCACCAGGAAUACGUCAUUUCCUAUCUCCUUCCCAGCCCUGGUGUGGCAAGAGCAGAGUUAGAGUGACAACAGCUGACUCGCCCAGACCAACCCCUUACCUCCCGGAGAAGAAGAGAUACCAGCAUUCUUGCUUCUCUUCCAGAGACCCUCCUUGGAGGAAGCAUAUCUCUGAAAGCGAGUGAGUGUUAAGUGCAUAAUCUUAUCUGCUUCUCAAGGCAC
rnacentral:lncRNA from 1 species